rnacentral:rRNA from 1 species
AGUGAACGCUGGCGGCAUGCUUUACACAUGCAAGUCGAACGGCAGCGCAGUCUUCGGUUUGGCUGCGGGUGGGGAAGUGGUGGGUGGUGCAUGAAAACGUGCCCAGCUAUUGUUUCUUGGGGGGUGACAGACGGAUUCAUACGCCAAUACCGCAGACGGUGUAAGGGGGGGAGCGAGAGACCUUGCGCCCUUGCGCCGGCGGAUGUCGGAUUAGCUAGUUGGUGGGGUAAAGGCUUACCAAGGCGACGAUCCGUAGCUGGUCUGAGAGGAUGACCAGCCACACUGGAACUGAGACACGGCCCAGACUCCUACGGGAGGCAGCAGUGGGGAAUUUUGGACAAUGGGGGCAACCCUGAUCCAGCCAUGCCGCGUGCGUGAAGAAGGCCUUCGGGUUGUAAAGCGCUUUUGUUCGGGAAGAAAAGCUGUAGGUUAAUACCCCGCUGUUAUGACGGUACCGGAAGAAUAAGCACCGGCUAACUUCGUG